UUGGAAGCACUUUGAGAUCUACUAAUGAAAAGUGCUAGGUGCACAGCAGUCGUGAUCAGAGGCAUGCUGUGGGCAAGAUUGCAAUGAAUUGAAAGCACUUCUAUUUAUACACCUGCACUCACAAAAGAUUCUGAAUGUAAAGAGGAGGAGGCCAAGUUGAGAAACUAAGACAACAAUUCAAACUAUACUGACACAGUGGUGAAUUAAUCCCUUCCUUAGGGGAAAUUCUGUGGGAAGGGUACAAACAGUUCUCAGAACAGUCUUACUACUACCCCAAGCCUGCAGGUGUUCAACUUUUUUAAGGGAUGUUUACAAAUAGGCAGUAAAGGCCUGAUCAAACCCCUCUCGAAGUGAAGAGGAGUCUUGCUAUUGAUCCAAGAAGUUCGAUCGGACCUCGAAGGAGAGCAUUUUCCCUUACCUACCUUUUCCCCAAUGAAGAGAGGGAAGACUUAGGAAGCAGUUAUUAACAGUAAUGUCACAUACAUCUUGCUGACAUACAGUGUGAGUGUGUAGAUGGUGUGUUCUGAAGAUAAAAUUAGAGCAUGCAACUUGACAACUCUCAUAAUCACAGACAUAAGGCCAAGCUUUGCUUUGGCUGGUGCUUUUCAGGGUAGUGGAAACAUUAGCAGCCUCUGCUCCUUCAUUGUUGCUGGUCCAGGCAGAUUCCAUGAGGAGUGUUAGAAGGACAUAGGUGGCGAGUUACAUAAGCUGCUCCUUUGAGGAGCAACAUACAUUCCAGAAAUGUACAAAAGCCACACUGUGACUUAGAUAGAACUCUGUUGAUAACUUGGACCAGGAGCUGGUUGCAUGUAUCUUACUAGCCAUGGGAAGCAAGGAGAUGCAGUGAUAAUUACCACAGUUGUGUGCCUACGUCUCUGUGCUUAUAGAUAAUGAUGAUAUUGGCAUCUUUCAGCUCCUGUGAUAUGAUUUGUUGAAGCUGGACCCGUGAGGAAAACCUUAAAAAGCUUGUCAAUGAGAAGAUUUCCUCCAUGUUUGACAACUUCAGCUGGAAUGGCAUCGGGCCCAGGAGAUUUGUUGUUUUUCAUUGCUUGGACACGCUUCAGCACCUCCGCUUGUGUGUGUGGAUCGGCAAGUACUAGAUGUAGGCAGGUUAUGGAAAUGGUGGCUCAUCAGAAAUAGUAGACAGAUGAUUAAGAAAUUUACUACUGGGUUCAUGGCACCAUUUAGCAGUGCGAAUCUGUGAUGAGUAACUCACAAUCAGCUCUUGUUAGUGGUGUUGAGGCAGAUUGAGUAGGGCUGUAUGCAGCUUUGACUGCAUCGUGUAGAAGCUUUUGGAGUCACGUUUUUCAGCAAGGACCUGCAAUUAAUCCGCUUUGUGGUCAAACCACAUAUUUUGCGUAUGGCGGAGUUUGUGGUAGAGAGUGCUGCAAGCUUCUUUAUAUCUGGCUUGUUUCGACUCAGAGAAUGGGUCAACUAAGAACACAUCAUGGGCUUGCCAUUUGGCAACAAGAAGAUGUGCUAUUUCAGGAUCAUUAUUAUCAAACCCGUCUUCAUGAUGGUGUUUUGUAUAUCCAGCACAGUUCACAACAGUCUAUAAUGUAGAUUGUAUCACACAGGGAUACGGUCACAGAGUGCAUUCACCACUAGGGGCACCUCCUCCUUUCCAAUCUGGGGAUCAGCUCUUUCCAGGUCCAAAGCCCCCUUCUGCAGCUUGUUGCACACUCUGCCAUCUCUCUCCCUCUCUGCAACUCAGGGUGCUCUGUCUCCGUGGCCCGGCCCUCUGGCCAGGUCACUGUAGUCCUUGCCUUCCACGGUAACGAAGUCUCUCCAGAUCAGGGCUGGUAGGGGAACACAGGCCCACCCUCUACACGGGUUCCAACUCAGGGACCCUAUAACAAACAACUGUGGUCUGCUUUCCCUCAGACCUUGUUUCUCUUUCCCUGGACUCCUUCCUACAGCUUAUGGCUCUCCCUUUCCCCCUGCCACCAACUCAAAUUCCCUCUUCCCAGGCAGUGACAGCAGACUUUUUCCCUGCAGCCUCUUUCUGUUGCCAGCGUCCUGUAUUUGUCCUUGCCCUGCCUCUUCCUUCUCAGCUGGGCUCCAUAAUUAUUUAGGCCACCAAAUUCCCCUCAGCUGUGGCAUAUCUGAUUAAUUCACCCCUUCUCAGCCUCAUUAACCCUUUCUGGGCUGGCAUGGGGUGAACACCCCAUCACAGAUUCCCUUUCAACAGAUACAUCAUCACCAAUUGUUGGAAAAGUUUCCAAAACAGUUGCUAGCUCUGUGGAGAAUUGUUUGGUGGUUGACUGGUCUUUCAGCCAGGCAACAUUUAGAUGUUUUUACUCACUGUUUUUUACACACAUCUCAUAGGUCCUGCUGUCUGACCAACACAUAAUCAAUCAAAUGCCAGUCAUGUGAGCAAGGGUGCAUCCAGCUCCUUUUGUGUUUGUUGGGGAGUGUGUGUGUGAUAACUAAUCGGUGCUCGAUACAUGUUGGCAAUAAAAGUAAGCCUUUACUCUUCAUCUUGCUGAUGCUCCACCACAUAGACUCAUCAUGGCCAACAUGAGUGUGAAAGUCACCUGGGAUAAUCAACUUGUCUUCACAGGGAGUCAAUUGAUCAGAUCAAUUAGAUUGAAGUAAAAUUGCUCUUUCCUUUCA